GUUUUUGGUUUUUUUCUGGCCUGCAUGUAAGUCAUGAGAGCAACAUUUUCCCUAUAGACAACAUCAUCAUGUUUACAAAAGCUUAUAACAUCCCCAGUCUGACCCAGAUUAUAUUCUAAUUUUCCCAAACAUUCUCAAUAACUGUUUUCUGUGUCCGUAUGUUAUAGGCAAGUCCCAGCCAGGACCACCGUUACUUUGUACACUGAUGAUUCCAGAGACGGGACUCAGCCACUCCUGCCUCCCAAUGGCUCUGCUUCGCAGGAGAAUGGCAGCCACCAGAGGUGGCAAACAGGUAUGACCAGAUGCCACUGUUUCACAGCCCUCAGGGGAGCUGAGUCACUGACCCCAGACGGUGUUUCAACUGGGGAGGAACCACCAGGUGAGAUGUGGACGGACAGGACACUCACGUGUGCCCGUUUUCCCUGACCCUGCGUUUCCUUCUGGCAGGGGUUCCCCUCCCCUUCUGCCCAGUCUGUGUCCCAAUGGCAGCGGAUCCCACGGCAACCUCCAGCCGCCCAGCCUGUCUGGGAAGGUCAUUCUGAUUCCCUCCUGUGACCGGUGGCCCCAGGCUGCAUCUCCAGCCCGGAACAAGGGUCAUCGUGGGGCCGUGUCUGUGCCAGAAUCCCACCUGAGCCGGCUCCUUCCAUCCCAGGAGCCACCGCCGUCUUCCAGCCGAGGAGCCCCGAGAGGGCAAACUCGCCUUCGUAAAAUUACAGACCCCCACGCUGGCAGCAGACCGGACUGCAGUCGCUUGUGUGAAGUUGUCUCCCUCGUGAAAUUCUGCUUAUCAGGCGUCUCCCGAGGCCCAGCAAUUUCUAGCACCGAGAUCAGCAGCAAAUCCACCGAAACCGGCGUGUAUGGGAUGUGGCAGGUGUGGUUUCCGGUCGCUAAUCCCAAGUAAACCGACUCGAGCCCACAGAGCGGUCCAGCCUCCUCCACCUGCCGCAGGAAGGCCCCUCUGGCAGAAGCCUCCUUCUCAGCAGGCGCCUCCCAAGACGCCCCCACUUUCCACCC
rnacentral:lncRNA from 1 species